rnacentral:rRNA from 1 species
GUGUCAGCAGCCGCGGUAAUACGUAGGGGGCAAGCGUUGUCCGGAAUUAUUGGGCGUAAAGCGCGCGCAGGCGGCUUCUUAAGUCAGGUGUGAAAGCCCACGGCUCAACCGUGGAGGGCCACUUGAAACUGGGAAGCUUGAGUGCAGGAGAGGAGAGCGGAAUUCCACGUGUAGCGGUGAAAUGCGUAGAGAUGUGGAGGAACACCCGUGGCGAAGGCGGCUCUCUGGCCUGUAACUGACGCUGAGGCGCGAAAGCGUGGGGAGCGAACAGGAUUAGAUACCCUGGUAGUCCACGCCGUAAACGUUGAGUGCUAGGUGUUGGGGACUCCAAUCCUCAGUGCCGCAGCUAACGCAAUAAGCACUCCGCCUGGGGAGUACGGCCGCAAGGCUGAA